UAGGGAAUUUUCGUCAAUGGGGGGAACCCUGAACGAGCAAUGCCGCGUGAGUGAGGAAGGUCUUCGGAUCGUAAAGCUCUGUUGUAAGAGAAAAACGGCACUCAUAGGGAAUGAUGAGUGAGUGAUGGUAUCUUACCAGAAAGUCACGGCUAACUACGUGCCAGCAGCCGCGGUAAUACGUAGGUGGCGAGCGUUAUCCGGAAUGAUUGGGCGUAAAGGGUGCGUAGGUGGCAGAUCAAGUCUGGAGUAAAAGGUAUGGGCUCAACCCGUACUUGCUCUGGAAACUGAUCAGCUAGAGAACAGAAGAGGACGGCGGAACUCCAUGUGUAGCGGUAAAAUGCGUAGAUAUAUGGAAGAACACCGGUGGCGAAGGCGGCCGUCUGGUCUGGAUUCUGACACUGAAGCACGAAAGCGUGGGGAGCAAAUAGG
rnacentral:rRNA from 1 species